rnacentral:rRNA from 1 species
GGCGAACGCUGGCGGCGUGCUUAACACAUGCAAGUCGAACGGUGAACGAGGGAGCUUGCUCCCUCCGGAUCAGUGGCGAACGGGUGAGUAACACGUGAGCAAUCUGCCCCGAACUCUGGGAUAAGCGUUGGAAACGACGUCUAAUACCGGAUACGACGCGGGAGGGCAUCCUCUCCGCGUGGAAAGAACUUCGGUUCGGGAUGAGCUCGCGGCCUAUCAGCUUGUUGGUGAGGUAACGGCUCACCAAGGCGACGACGGGUAGCCGGCCUGAGAGGGUAACCGGCCACACUGGGACUGAGACACGGCCCAGACUCCUACGGGAGGCAGCAGUGGGGAAUAUUGCACAAUGGGCGCAAGCCUGAUGCAGCAACGCCGCGUGGGGGACGACGGCCUUCGGGUUGUAAACCUCUUUUAGCAGGGAAGAAGCGAAAGUGACGGUACCUGCAGAAAAAGCACCGGCUAACUACGUG